AAGCGUUUAUGACCAGACUUGGGCUUGGUUAAUCAUCUGGGGUUCUCCCCAGUGCACGUUUCCAGUCCAGGCCAGCAUCAGUUUUCCCCGGGGGAUAAAGGCGGCGGGAAUGUGGCUCCUCCGGGAGUGUUAUAGCCCAUUGUGUAAUACCCUGUGGUGGACUGAGGUUCGCGCAUCUGCAAGGAUGCUGGCGUAAUGGUCAUCAGCGA
rnacentral:rRNA from 1 species